UGGUUACUGCGAUGGAGGGACGGAGAAGGCUAGGCCAGCUUGGCGUUGGUUGUCCAAGUUUAAGGUGGUAGGCUGAAAUCUUAGGUAAAUCCGGGGUUUCAAGGCCGAGAGCUGAUGACGAGUCGUCUUUUAGAUGACGAAGUGGUUGAUGCCAUGCUUCCAAGAAAAGCUACUAAGCUUCAGGUAACCAGGAACCGUACCCCAAACCGACACAGGUGGUCGGGUAGAGAAUACCAAGGCGCUUGAGAGAACUCGGGUGAAGGAACUAGGCAAAAUGGCACCGUAACUUCGGGAGAAGGUGCGCCGGCUAGGGUGAAGGAUUUACUCCGUAAGCUCUGGCUGGUCGAAGAUACCAGGCCGCUGCGACUGUUUAUUAGAAACACAGCACUCUGCAAACACGAAAGUGGACGUAUAGGGUGUGACGCCUCCCCGGUGCCGGAAGGUUAGUUGAUGGGGUUAGCGCAAGCGAAGCUCUUGAUCGAAGCCCCGGUAAACGGCGGCCGUAACAAUAACGGUCCUAAGGUAGCGAAAUUCCUUGUCGGGUAAGUUCCGACCUGCACGAAUGGCGUAACGAUGGCGGCGCUGUCUCCACCCGAGACUCAGUGAAAUUGAAAUCGCUGUGAAGAUGCAGUGUAUCCGCGGCUAGACGGAAAGACCCCGUGAACCUUUACUGUAGCUUUGCACUGGACUUUGAGCCUGCUUGUGUAGGAUAGGUGGGAGGCUUUGAAGCGUGGACGCCAGUUCGCGUGGAGCCAUCCUUGAAAUACCACCCCGGCAUGCUUGAGGUUCUAACUCUGGUCCGUAAUCCGGAUCGAGGACAGUGUAUGGUGGGCAGUUUGACUGGGGCGGUCUCCUCCUAAAGAGUAACGGAGGAGUACGAAGGUGCGCUCAGACCGGUCGGAAAUCGGUCGCAGAGUAUAAAGGCAAAAGCGCGCUUGACUGCGAGACAGACACGUCGAGCAGGUACGAAAGUAGGUCUUAGUGAUCCGGUGGUUCUGUAUGGAAGGGCCAUCGCUCAACGGAUAAAAGGUACUCCGGGGAUAACAGGCUGAUACCGCCCAAGAGUUCAUAUCGACGGCGGUGUUUGGCACCUCGAUGUCGGCUCAUCACAUCCUGGGGCUGAAGCCGGUCCCAAGGGUAUGGCUGUUCGCCAUUUAAAGUGGUACGCGAGCUGGGUUUUAGAACGUCGUGAGACAGUUCGGUCCCUAUCUGCCGUGGACGUUUGAGAUUUGAGAGGGGCUGCUCCUAGUACGAGAGGACCGGAGUGGACGAACCUCUGGUGUUCCGGUUGUCACGCCAGUGGCAUUGCCGGGUAGCUAUGUUCGGAAAAGAUAACCGCUGAAAGCAUCUAAGCGGGAAACUUGCCUCAAGAUGAGAUCUCACUGGGAACUUG
rnacentral:rRNA from 1 species